UUCUAACACUCCUAAGUGUACAUGCAACCCUAAAUACCUUGGAUCUAUGUUUUCUCUAUUAUACAUGCAAAUAAGAACUUCCAAGGUAUUAUCCUAAUCUAGCAUACAAAACAAUAACUAUAGCAAGAUAGAAUACAUACCUCUUUGGAGAAGAAAGUCUUCAUGAAGCUAGAGUGCCUAGUGCCCCAAGUGUGACACCUCAAAUGGAAUCACAAUCAUCAAAACACUUGGAAUGACUUGAGAGAAAACCCACACUUCAUGAAAUCGGCUAGCCCUUCUAGUACACCCACUAGUGCCGAUUUUGGUGAAUAAUAUGAUGCUUAUAUAGUGUUACAAUUAGGGCAAACCCUAAUUGUCAUGACUUUCCAUUUCCUUGGAUCCAUGGGUACAAAUACACCAUGGAGCAUCCAUGGACCAUCCUAUGGGUUUUAGCCCAACUUGAUUAUCCAUGGAGCAUUAGCCCACUAUACAAGUAUGGAUGAUUUACACAAUCAACCCAUAUAUUUAAUUAGUCUUCUUUUGAUCACUUAAUUAAUCCUAGAUUAAUUCUUGAUCAAUACUAAUUAAAUAAUCUUAUCAUUCUUAUUAUUAAUAUACUAGAACUUAUAAUAUAUUAAUAACCAUAAGUGUCUUAUUUCUCUCAUUAUAGUCUAUCCAAGUGCAUGAUGGUAUGCAACCCAAAUGGACCAUGCCGGGUCGGGUCAAGUCUUACCAAUUAUAGUUAUGGACUUAGACAUUAAUCCAACAGUCUCCCACUUGGAUAAGUCUAAAACUAUUAUUGCGUAUGACUUCAGGAACCAACUGGCAAUCGUAGCUCUCAAAAGCUUCUGUCGAACUCUGACCUUGUAGAUGAACUCUGACCUUUGUCAAUGACUUGUCCAUUAGAUAAGGGAUCAUAUAUUCCUCCAUUCUAGAUAUCAUAUGGACUGAGACAUGGAUUAUAAUCAUUCUCUCUGUCCAUUUGUUGUUUCCCGAUUUCCGAUUUAUGACGACUGACUAAUUGAACAAAUCAAAUCAGUCCUGGCCCGGCCGAGCACUUCCAUUUGUCAUCAUCAAAUCAUCGAGGGGCCCACAGAUAUCGCUUUUAUCCCGAAGGUAAAAGGAAUGGAUAAACUUCGACUCAUAUGGCUUGUUCUACUACUUGUUGAAUCAUACACAAAGGCACGUUUUAUAGCACCGAGUUACCAAAUGCGUUUUCGUGCAAUCAAUGUACUAUCAACUCAUAGUAACAACUCAUAUCUCUAGGUUUGAAGAAUAUAAGAUAUUAUCGUCUCAUGAUCACUCGUGAUAAAAUCCAUGAAGUGAUUCCAAUGAGCGCGGGUUGAAUCCAAUACUCAGAACUUAUGAGCACUCAUGAGUGUUGUAGCCCUUUGUCCAACACCUUAGACCUCUACAAGCCAACCCAUGACAGUCUUAAUUCAUAUCUACUUCCAACAUAUGACCGACUGUGGAUGGUUUGAAUAACUUAGUCAUUCCGGAAGAAUAACCCAGUUUAUUCGGGAAGUCAAAACAUGCAAAAUGAAACACAAUAAUAAUUGAAUCCAAUAUGGUAUCAACCCUUUGAACAUAAAUAAAACACCUUUUAUUUAUCACCAUAUGAUUACACAUUAUUCAUUGUAUACUGUUUCAGCUAUCAACUUUAUUCUUGAAUUUAAAACAAUAGUUGUCCCAUGCUCCAAGCAUGUACACUAUGUUUUCUUAAACACUAGUCAUGCCACACACCAAGUAUGCAUACUAUGUUUGUCUAUGAUCUUUACUUUGUGAACUAGAUCAAUUGAACAUAACUUCAAUGAUUCUCUUUUCACACUCCCAAAUCCUUACUGCAAAUGCAAGAAUUCCAAAUUCAUGCCAUUUACUGAAAUCUGUUAGAUUCUAAACUUAUAUGCAUUGAUCCUCUUGUAAUGAUUAUGCACAAAGUCACAAAGACUUGGCAACAAUCAUUACAGAGUAUUCCAAAGGAGAUCAACUCCUUGGAAAUAUCCUUCUUGCAUUAAGUUUCCUUAAUCUUACACAGAUUGAAAAUUCUAACUUUGAAACAUUUCCAGAUUCCAUUUUGACUAUCACUUCUGAACAAGAGUUGCCUCCUUACAGAUUAUGUCAAUAUGGUCCUUCCAGAAUUAUCACUAUACUUCCAAUUGUCCUUGAGUAACCAAUCUUUGGUAAACCUUAGAUUGUCCUCGACAAUUGUUUAAUCCUUUUAGUCAUAUCCAGUUCUAAACCUUUUCCCUUCUUAAUGCCCCAGGCAUUUGGAAAAUUUUAGAACGGAUGAAUAUAGCACAUGUAAUCGAUCCUAUAUCCGAAGCAUAUGGGACACGAUUCAUGAUGUCUUACAUAAAGACUAAACCAGUCUUUUGCUAUAAUAUUUCCAUUUCAAUUUGCCAAGUUCUCAUAAUUCAGAUUAUGAAAAGGGAUGCCGUAAUCAUAAUCGAAUUUUAGAACGCAAAUAAUGGACCCAUAUACAGAAUUUCCUUAUGUUGAGCCAUUCCAACAUGAAAUUCAUAUAUAUCCUUGACUAAAUGAUUAAAACCUCACGAUCUAAGCUUAUAGAUUUGAGAUGAAGCAUAAUUUCCUCUCCCUUAAUUAUAGCAAAACAACUUUUUCCCAAUUGAAACUUUUGUUUUCUAUAAUUAACAUUGCUAACUUGCAAUACUUAUCAUAAUUAUCAUGCUCCCACUAACAUGAUGAUUAUUAGCAUAACACUUAUGCUCCCACUAGCUUUGACAUGUACUCAGAAAUCAGCUGGACAGUCUGAAAUUUAGAUUCAUACACCCUUUCCGUAGAUAGCUCACCUGUGUGUCUAAGCAAUUUCAAGAACCAUGAAAAGGGAUACCGUAAUCAUGGUCUCAAUUGCUUAGGCAUUUGCCAUUUCUCACAAGUCCAUGUUAGUGUGCCGGUUAACCACACGCGCUCCACUAACGACUUUUGAAAAUGCAAAUAACACAAUUGAUAUCUUCGUAAAAUCUACUUAGUGAAAGCGUUUCCUCACCAUCAUUUUCAUGAAUCGGAGAGAAACCUUAUGACACUUAGAUUUAUAUGGUGUAUGAGUUCCUACCCAUAUGAAUUUGUCAAACCAUAAUCACAAGACAAAGAUAAUGACAAAUCCAAAACCAUAUGGAUUGAACUCAAUCUUAACUUCUUGCCACCUGGCAGCUCAAGGGCCUGCCAUUGCUUCCAAGUUGUUAUGCAACAAACUGAGAACUCUAAGAACUCAUAUGCAAAGCCAACUUUAACUGGAAUGGGCACAGAUAUGUCAACACGAUAGGUUAUAAACCUCAAGUCGUGUGCUAGUGAAGAACUUCAGGUUUUAUUCUUGAUUAUUUCUUGAGACUUUCAAGACCUUUAAGACUCCCACUGUCCUCUUGACAUAUAAGACUCCCUUGUCAAACAUCCAAGAGAUAGUGCGGAUUCUAAUCAAGAAAAACACUUUACCCAAUUGGCCUAAGUUGGUCUUUGUUUUAUCCAAAACAUCACAACUUACCAAUUUCAAAUGUACAAGAGUAGAAAACUUUUACUCUUACAUUUGACAAGUGUUUUAAACCUUCUUUAAGACAUGUCACUCAAAUGACAAUCUUGGAGUAUGACUCUAAGACUUGUAUUGGAACGAAGUAUGACUCAUCUUCUUGAUUUAACCAUUUCAACAAUUCAAGUUCCUCUUCUUAGUCAUAAGAAUGCACUAAGAUUUCCUUAGAGAACUAAUUUUGAUAUGGUUUCUUAAUCAUUAAGAUGAUCACAAAACUGAUACUAAAGUACUCUCCCAUCUUUUCAGAUAUGAGAAACUUUUAUCCUUCUGCCUAAUUUGAUUCUUCUUAUUCGCCCUGCCAUACAUUGGAACCUUUUCCAAUGUCUCAGAGUUACACUUAAGCUUGUAAGUAUAAUCAUAUUUACUGAGCUUUAGUAAACUAUGACGAAUAGUCUUAUCAAUCUUUUGUGGUGGACUUAAUCAGUGCACAAGAAUGUGUACUCGAUCCCUUAGUCCUUUACUUGACUCACACAUCCAUGUGAACAAGUAAUUAGUCUUAAUUUUCCAAAACUUGAAAGUUCUCAUUCAUCAUGCUAUACAACUUGCAUGAUUCCAAGUUCCGGUCCAAUUGAAACUUGGGUGAUGAGAAUCUUUCCUUAUUUGGUAAAUCUAGACAUUACCACAAAUGAAAGAAUCAAUUUCAUAUUUCCACUCUUGCUCUUAAUGGAAUCAUAUAAGCAACAAUUUUUCCUCAAAAGCCAUUGUAAGGAUAUUUUAAAAUAAAUAAAAUCAAAAAAAUUUUCUUUUAUUUUAAAACUUUGCGGAAAAACUUAUCCUUACAAUCCAUAUGAAAACUUGUUGUUAUCUAUUCCUAAGCAAUAUCUCAUAACUCCUAAGAAGUAGCUCAAGAAUCCGAUCUUCAAACUAUGCGAUAGAAAUCCAUCUACGCCAUCAGAUUCAGCAUAUUCUUUCUUUAAGUUUCUUCACUUUUCUUUGAUUCUUAAAACAUCACCAUGUGACCCAGUCACAUCAUGUAUCAAGAAUCUCAGAAUAGAAACUUAACAGAGUUAGAUAGUGGACUUUACCUGAAGUAGAGUCAAACUUAUUGACUUUAACAUCCUUAGGUAAAUUUGGCAGCUUCGCAACCAAUGCCCCUUCCUUUGGCAAUAUAAACAUAUGGACCCUUUGAUAAUGGUACACGGGACUAUCACAGACUUAGCUUUUCUCUUUACCAUUUGGUCAACCGAGUUGACUAUGGCCGAUCCCUUUCCAUUGGGAAGAGAAUGCUUUACUGGAUAUCCAAUGUCAUCAUUGUCAAUGUCCAUAAAGUUUUAGGAAGUUGAUCUUAGCAAAUAGAUAAGAUCAUUAAGGGUCUUGUCAUAGUCUGUUUCAUAGGUGUCCCAAAGGAACUCACUAUGUGACUUAGAAAGUGGUUGAACCACCAACUUUCUCAAGACUUUGACACCCAACUCUCCCGGCUUGUCAAUAUGUGACUACAUCUCCAAGAUGUGACCACACCUAGACCUUGCCUUGCUAAUAGGGCCUGAGUGACCUUAAACUUUUCAAGAACUUGUGGGUUAGGGAGAAUAAUUUGAAGAGGUGAAGAAGUAUGAUAUCCAUGGGACAUCAUCUUCAUUAGGAAACCUUGUUUCAAGAGAUUUGGGAAGAUCAUAGGUGUCUAAACCAGACAUCUUUUGGGAGAUAUUCAAGAUAGUUGAUUUAAAGUCCUUAAUAUGACACCCAAUAUGAAAUAUUAAGGCUAGGACCCAACAAACUAUUUUAUAACUUAGAAGAGGUAUGCCGUAAUCCAAGCUAUAAAAUAUUUGAAGGUAGGUGAAUGACGAUUCACCAAUUUCCACCAAGAUAAACGAAAUGUAUUAUUAGGUUUUAAUUGGUUUUGAAACUCCUAGAUCUUUGAGAUUCAUUGAACUUUUCAAAGGCAUGUUUCAAUCUCGAGUGUGCCCUUCAGGUUUUGUGACUGGGAUGCCGAGGAUCACAAAACAAGGUGUGAAGUAACCAUGCAAAUCACUUGGUACCCUUAAUAAAUUACCCCUCAAUCGAUGUGCCGGUUAACCACACACGCUCCAUCGAUACUAUGAUAAAUAUUAAGUCACCCUUUACCUACCUUGUUAAGUCCAAGUUAGUGUGCCGGUUAACCACACACGCUCCACUAACGACUUAGACAAAGUGUAAAGUGUAAUUUCAUGGAUUAGCACCUUAUUCACAUUUUUCCUAAGUAACUAAGAUUGGGUAUUAUUAAGAGUUUAGUUACUUAGUAUUAUCAUUAAUACUUUUAAUGAAGGGAGAAUUCUAGUCCUGUCAAACCCGUUCGGCUAACGACCCUCCACCAGUCAAGCAAGCGGUGGGUGAGAGUGGACACCCAUUAAGUUGCCAUUUUAUAGGCAACAACCUUAUACCCACCUUAUAGACCGGCUUCGUGAAUGAGGCGUACUAGCGGUAAGACUGACUUUACUCUUAUACAUAUAUAUAUUAUUAACUUAUAAUAUUAUAAAGUAUAAGGGUUGAAUUUUAACUUUUAAAAUUCUAAGGGCUAACUUGGAAUUAAAGUAUUCAUACUUGAAAACUUUUCAAAUUCCAAAACUUGAGGGCAAGUUUUGAAACUAUUCAAAACUAAUUAAUUCCAUAACUUAUGUGUUUAAAGUAGUUUUAAUCCAAAAACUCUUCAAGUUCCAUAACUUGAGGACAAGUUAUGGAAGACUUUAAACUAAUAAAAGAACUAACUUUUUCUUUAUUUUAUAACUUAUGGAUUUAAUUAUGGUUACAUAUUUUUCUUUAAUGAAGUGACUCUUGAACUUCCAUAACUUGAGGACAAGUUAUGGAGUCAAAAAAAAUUAUUCAAUGACACAAGACUCUUCAUUUUGUAACCAUUGCCAACUUUUAUGAAUUUUAUGAGUCUUUAAUGUGACUCUUCAUGUAACUUGAGGACAAGUUACACAAACACAUUUUAUACUCAACUCUUAGAUUAAAAUGGAUUGAAAACAACUAUUUCACUCAACAUUUCUAUUAAUCUAAGCAACUCAUAAGAACAAGAUAAUUCAAAUCAAACUUUUUCAUGUAAUUAGUCUAAACCUUAAACUAAUACAAAACAUGAAUCUAUUGACAAUUAUCUUUGAAAAUGGAUUAGCAUGAACAUUACCACAUCAAAAACAAGUUUAUAAGUUCAAAAACAACUUAGGGUAAUGUUCCUAGUCCAUUUCUAGCCAAAAAACUCGAAAAUAUGCUGUCUGGGGGUCCAACUCGUCGAGUGCAUGAACAAACUCGGCGAGUUGGAUCGAAUUCAUCACUUUUUAGGCAUGGACUCGUCGAGUCUCCUGAUGGACUCGCCGAGUCUGAUGGCCAGACAGCACCAGAUUCGUUUUUUCAGCUUCUAUUGCAGGUAUAACAAGAAAACAAGCCUAGGCUCUGAUACCACUGUUGGGUUUUGAGCAUUCUAACACUCCUAAGUGUACAUGCAACCCUAAAUACCUUGGAUCUAUGUUUUCUCUAUUAUGCAUGCAAAUAAGAACUUCCAAGGUAUUAUCCUAAUCUAGCAUACAAAACAAUAACUAUAGCAAGAUAGAAUACAUACCUCUUUGGAGAAGAAAGUCUUCAUGAAGCUAGAGUGCCUAGUGCCCCAAGUGUGACACCUCAAAUGGAAUCACAAUCAUCAAAACACUUGGAAUGACUUGAGAGAAAACCCACACUUCAUGAAAUCGGCUAGCCCUUCUAGUACACCCACUAGUGCCGAUUUUGGUGAAUAAUAUGAUGCUUAUAUAGUGUUACAAUUAGGGCAAACCCUAAUUGUCAUGACUUUCCAUUUCCUUGGAUCCAUGGGUACAAAUACACCAUGGAGCAUCCAUGGACCAUCCUAUGGGUUU
rnacentral:lncRNA from 1 species